UGCAAGUCGAACGGUAAGGCCCCUUCGGGGGUACACGAGUGGCGAACGGGUGAGUAACACGUGGGUAAUCUGCCCUGCACUUCGGGAUAAGCCUGGGAAACCGGGUCUAAUACCGGAUAUGAACUCCUGCCGCAUGGUGGGGGUUGGAAAGUUUUUCGGUGCAGGAUGAGCCCGCGGCCUAUCAGCUUGUUGGUGGGGUAAUGGCCUACCAAGGCGACGACGGGUAGCCGGCCUGAGAGGGUGAUCGGCCACACUGGGACUGAGACACGGCCCAGACUCCUACGGGAGGCAGCAGUGGGGAAUAUUGCACAAUGGGCGAAAGCCUGAUGCAGCGACGCCGCGUGGGGGAUGACGGUCUUCGGAUUGUAAACCCCUUUCAGUAGGGACGAAGCGCAAGUGACGGUACCUGCAGAAGAAGCACCGGCUAACUACGUGCCAGCAGCCGCGGUAAUACGUAGGGUGCGAGCGUUGUCCGGAAUUACUGGGCGUAAAGAGCUCGUAGGCGGUUUGUCACGUCGUCUGUGAAAUCCCUCGGCUUAACCGGGGGCGUGCAGGCGAUACGGGCUGACUUGAGUACUACAGGGGAGACUGGAAUUCCUGGUGUAGCGGUGAAAUGCGCAGAUAUCAGGAGGAACACCGGUGGCGAAGGCGGGUCUCUGGGUAGUAACUGACGCUGAGGAGCGAAAGCAUGGGUAGCGAACAGGAUUAGAUACCCUGGUAGUCCAUGCCGUAAACGGUGGGCGCUAGGUGUGGGGUCCUUCCACGGACUCCGUGCCGUAGCUAACGCAUUAAGCGCCCCGCCUGGGGAGUACGGCCGCAAGGCUAAAACUCAAAGGA
rnacentral:rRNA from 1 species